GACGAACGCUGGCGGCGUGCCUAAUACAUGCAAGUAGAACGCUGAAGGAGGAGCUUGCUUCUCUGGAUGAGUUGCGAACGGGUGAGUAACGCGUAGGUAACCUGCCUGGUAGCGGGGGAUAACUAUUGGAAACGAUAGCUAAUACCGCAUAAUAUCAGUUGUUGCAUGAUAACUGUUUGAAAGGUGCAAUUGUACCACUACCAGAUGGACCUGCGUUGUAUUAGGUAGUUGGUGGGGUAACGGCUCACCAAGGCGACGAUACAUAGUCGACCUGGGAGGGUGGACGGCCACACUGGGACUGAGACACGGCCCAGACUCCUAAGGGAGGCAGCAGUAGGGAAUCCUCGGCAAUUGACGGAAGUCUGAACGGGCAACGCCGCGUGAGGGAAGAAGGGUUUCGGAUCGGAAAGCUCUGUUGUAAGGGAAGAACGAGUGUGAGAGUGGAAAGUUCACACUGUGACGGUAUCUUACCAGAAAGGGACGGCUAACUACGUG
rnacentral:rRNA from 1 species